GCAUUCCAAGAACCUCUGAACGCUUCUGAGGCCCCCGCAGAGGCUUUGUAUUGUAACAGGAAGCAGUAACAAACAAGCACCGGCUACAAAGCAAAGAGAGCAGAGUGCUUUUCCAAACGUAGAAGCGCCGCAGAGCAGAGCAGAGGAGAGCAGCCACGUGCUGUGCGCUGCGCUACUCAUGCGCGCAGCUGGUAGGGCUCAGCCGGCGUAGUGCUGCGUCCUGCGGAGAUGGCAUGGAAAUGGUCGUGGGUUCCAGGGUGCCGCCGUUUCUCUUAAGAGACUACAAAAUGUCAUUCGGAAGCGUCAUGCAUACUGCAUGCUUUCUUCUUGUCCUCUUGGUGGCAGUCACGCAGCUGUUCGCCCUUAGGAUGGAUGGCCCAGAGCGCGGCCCCUGCUUCUGAGAUCCUGGGCUUUUUAGCAAGUACUGUGAAGUGUUGUGAAGCAUGAGCCAUAGAGAAAGAGGUUCUUCUGUUUUAUAUCUAUGAAAUUGUUUCAAGAGAGACUUUAUUGUAAUUACAAAUAAGGCAUAACUAAAAUCCCAAAUAUGAGGUUCAUCAGAACUGUUAUAAAGAAAUUCAAGACAUGAAGUUAACCAG